CUGGUCCUCGGUAGUGGUUUUCGGGUGUUCAUGCCCCCGCGAGCCUCGAUCGAAGACCGG
rnacentral:ncRNA from 1 species